rnacentral:rRNA from 1 species
ACGGAGGGUGCAAGCGUUGCUCGGAAUCACUGGGCGUAAAGCGCGUGUAGGCGGUUCGGUAAGUCGAGUGUGAAAGCCCGGGGCUCAACCUCGGAAGUGCACUCGAAACUGUCGAACUUGAGUACGGGAGAGGGAAGUGGAAUUCCUGGUGUAGAGGUGAAAUUCGUAGAUAUCAGGAGGAACACCGGUGGCGAAGGCGGCUUCCUGGACCGAUACUGACGCUGAGACGCGAAAGCGUGGGGAGCAAACAG